rnacentral:rRNA from 1 species
CCUACGGGAGGCAGCAGUGAGGAAUAUUGGUCAAUGGCCGGAAGGCUGAACCAGCCAUGCCGCGUGAAGGUCAGUGCCCUAUGGGCGUUACACUUCUUUUGUGCGGGAGCAAUAAUGGUCACGUGUGGCCAGACGAGAGUACCGUAAGAAUAAGCAUCGGCUAACUCCGUGCCAGCAGCCGCGGUAAUACGGGGGAUGCCAGCGUUAUCCGGAUUUAUUGGGUGUAAAGGGUGCGUAGGCUGUGAGGUAAGUCAGCGGUGAAAUGCCCCCGCUCAAAGGGGUGAAGUGCCAUUGAUACUGCCAUGCUGGAAUGCAGAUGACGUGGGAGGAAUGUGUGGUGUAGCGGUGAAAUGCAUAGAUAUCACACAGAACACCGAUUGCGAAGGCAUCUCACGAAUCCGCGAUUGACGCUGAUGCACGAAAGCGUGGGUAUCAAACAGGAUUAGAUACCCCUGUAGUC